UACGGGGGGGGGCAAGCGUUGUUCGGAAUUACUGGGCGUAAAGGGCUCGUAGGUGGCCAACUAAGUCAGACGUGAAAUCCCUCGGCUUAACCGGGGAACUGCGUCUGAUACUGGAUGGCUUGAGUUCGGGAGAGGGAUGCGGAAUUCCAGGUGUAGAGGUGAAAUUCGUAGAUAUCGGGAGGAACACCAGUGGCGAAGGCGGAGACCUGGGCCAAUACUGACGCUGAGGUGCGAAAGCGUGGGGAGCAAACAGG
rnacentral:rRNA from 1 species